rnacentral:snRNA from 1 species
CUGGCUUGUGGCAGCCAA